rnacentral:rRNA from 1 species
CCUACGGGAGGCUGCAGUGGGGAAUAUUGCACAAUGGGGGAAACCCUGAUGCAGCGACGCCGCGUGAGUGAAGAAGUAACUCGUUAUGUAAAGCUCUAUCUGUAGGGAAGCAAAUGACGGUACCUGAGUAUGAAGCCCCGGCUAACUACGUGCCAGCAGCCGCGGUAAUAAGGAGGGGGCAAGCGUUAUCCGGAUUUACUGGGGGUAAAGGGAGCGUAGACGGCAGUGCAAGGCUGGAGUGAAAGGCGGGGGCUCAACCCCCGGACUGCCCUUGAAACUGUACGGCUGGAGUGCAGGAGAGGUAAGUGGAAUUCGUAGUGUAGCGGUGAAAUGCGUAGAUAUUAGGAGGAACACCAGUGGCGAAGGCGGCUUACUGGACUGUAACUGACGUUGAGGCUCGAAAGCGUGGGUAGCGAACAGGAUUAGAUACCCGUGUAGUC